UUAUUAGCUCAGUGGCAGAGCGUCCGCUUUGCAUGCGGAAGGUCCGGGAUUUAAUCUC
rnacentral:tRNA from 1 species